CAUGCAAGUCGAGCGGUAGCACAGAGAGCUUGCUCUCGGGUGACGAGCGGCGGACGGGUGAGUAAUGUCUGGGAAACUGCCUGAUGGAGGGGGAUAACUACUGGAAACGGUAGCUAAUACCGCAUAACGCCGCAAGACCAAAGUGGGGGACCUUCGGGCCUCAUGCCAUCAGAUGUGCCCAGAUGGGAUUAGCUAGUAGGUGGGGUAAUGGCUCACCUAGGCGACGAUCCCUAGCUGGUCUGAGAGGAUGACCAGCCACACUGGAACUGAGACACGGUCCAGACUCCUACGGGAGGCAGCAGUGGGGAAUAUUGCACAAUGGGCGCAAGCCUGAUGCAGCCAUGCCGCGUGUAUGAAGAAGGCCUUCGGGUUGUAAAGUACUUUCAGCGAGGAGGAAGGCAUUAAGGUUAAUAACCUUAGUGAUUGACGUUACUCGCAGAAGAAGCACCGGCUAACUCCGUGCCAGCAGCCGCGGUAAUACGGAGGGUGCAAGCGUUAAUCGGAAUUACUGGGCGUAAAGCGCACGCAGGCGGUCUGUUAAGUCAGAUGUGAAAUCCCCGGGCUCAACCUGGGAACUGCAUUUGAAACUGGCAGGCUUGAGUCUUGUAGAGGGGGGUAGAAUUCCAGGUGUAGCGGUGAAAUGCGUAGAGAUCUGGAGGAAUACCGGUGGCGAAGGCGGCCCCCUGGACAAAGACUGACGCUCAGGUGCGAAAGCGU
rnacentral:rRNA from 1 species